rnacentral:rRNA from 1 species
AACGCGAAGAACCUUACCUGGGCUUGAACUACUGGUAGUAAGUCUUUGGAAACAUGGACUGAUCCGCAAGGAAGCCAGCAGAGGUGCUGCAUGGUUGUCGUCAGCUCGUGUCGUGAGAUGUUGGGUUAAGUCCCGCAACGAGCGCAACCCCUACUCGAUGUUGCCACUCCCGCAAGGGAAGCACUCUUCGAGAACUGCCUUCGAUAAGAAGGAGGAAGGUGGGGACGACGUCAAAUCCUCAUGGCCCUUAUGUCCAGGGCUACACACGUGCUACAAUGGCCGGUACAACGGGAAGCAAUACCGCAAGGUGGAGCCAAACCCUUAAAGCCGGCCCCAGUUCAGAUCGUGGGCUGAAACUCGCCCACGUGAAGGCGGAAUCGCUAGUAAUCGCGAAUCAGCAGGUCGCGGUGAAUACGUUCCCGGGCCUUGUA